UGGGGGAUAUUGCACAAUGGGCGAAAGCCUGAUGCAGCGACGCCGCGUGGGGGAUGAAGGCCUUCGGGUUGUAAACUUCUUUUGCUCUGAACAAGGCAUGCUAAUGGGUGUGUUGAGUGUAGGGGUUGAUUAGCGCCGGCUAACUACGUGCCAGCAGCCGCGGUAAUACGUAGGGCGCGAGCGUUGUCCGGAAUUAUUGGGCGUAAAGGGCUUGUAGGUGGCUGGUUGCGUCUGUCGUGAAAGCUCAUGGCUUAACUGUGGGUUUGCGGUGGGUACGGGCUGGCUUGAGUGCAGUAGGGGAGGCUGGAAUUCCUGGUGUAGCGGUGGAAUGCGCAGAUAUCAGAAGGAAUACCGGUGGCGAAGGCGGGUCUCUGGGCUGUUACUGACACUGAGGAGCGAAAGCAUGGGGAGCGAACAGG
rnacentral:rRNA from 1 species